rnacentral:rRNA from 1 species
UACGCAGGGUGCAAGCGUUAAUCGGAAUUACUGGGCGUAAAGCGUGCGCAGGCGGUUUGUUAAGCCAGAUGUGAAAGCCCCGGGCUCAACCUGGGAACUGCGUUUGGUACUGGCAAGCUAGAGUACGGCAGAGGGGGGUGGAAUUCCACGUGUAGCAGUGAAAUGCGUAGAGAUGUGGAGGAACACCGAUGGCGAAGGCAGCCCCCUGGGCCGAUACUGACGCUCAGGCACGAAAGCGUGGGGAGCAAACAGG